CCGCGGGUCGGGGCAAGUUCAAGGCUGGUCGAUAUUUAGUAGAGAAGAAACAGGGCAGGGCGGGCCAAGGUAUUUACGACACGUGGCCUAUCCAAAACUUUAGUAUCACGGGAUUUUCAUACCAUCCCGUUUAUUACAUAUAAUUAAUGAAUCUAAUUCAAUAUCAGUAAAUCUCCAGCAUUGGAUUGGAUUUUACUUUUCACUUGUUCAAUCUCCCCACUCCCCACUUCCCACUUUAUCAUUUCUUCCUCCUAGCUAGACCUGGCAUUCAAGUCGUGUUUUUUGUGUUCGUGUCACUUUCACGCCAUAACAGAGAUCUUAACGGGUUGUGUCAUGUAAUACCUGUUAAAAUGAACAAAUAAUGAUCCGAACCGAACUUGGCCCAUUAAUAUUAACGGUAAUAUGACCCAACCCGUCACCCGUUAAAGAAAAUACAUUUUAAUCCAAUAAAUAAUCAAAUGAAAAACAUAAUACUAAAUUAGUAUAUACAUAUCAUGUUGCUUGUCACAUAAAUAUUACUUCAAAUCAUAAUAACACAUUUGUAUUUCAAGCAUUACAUACCCCAAAAUAAGAGCCUAAUGAAAAAAAAUUAGUACAUUACAAAAUAUCAAAUGUUGAAGGAUAUGUGAGGUGAAGGGAGUUAGUUUAAAGGUUAUGGAACCUUGCAUGUUUUUUGACAAUAAAACCCCUUCAAUUUUUAUCAAUCACUAGGGGAAAUGGUAUUAGAAUUUUGGCUUGAUAUAUUGUCUUCAAGAGUUAUAUUGAUGAUGUUUUCAAUAAGACUUUCCACAUUAGCACUCUCCACAUAAACUAAGCAUAGAAAAACCAAAUAUUGUAAACCAUUCAAAUUAUGAGUACCAAAAAUAAUUAUGAAAAUAAAUAAAACAAUAAUAUUGUAUUAUAUAAUAGAUAUAUAACCUCCUCCCCUAAAAAUACUACUCACGAGGGUUUGUUGGGUUUUAAAAAUUCAAACACGGUGUACCCAUCCACAAAGCAUAGAGAAUGAGAGCACGUGUAUUUGCAUAUUUUUUUUUCACUUUUUUUGCACUUGUAUAUUAGUUAUUACAAUGUUUUAAUGUGUUUGGUAUUUUUAAUUACUUUGAUAUUUUUAUUUUUAAUGUGUUUUCCAAUAUUUUAAUCUCACUUUUAAGAGGAUAAAACAUUUAUGAUUAUGAUUGUAUGAGAGAGUAAAAACUUUGUUAGGUAUUGACCCUAAAAUUGAAAGUUUGAUUUUUUGCAUCUAUUAAUAUUAUACUAGUUGAUUUGGUUUUUGGACAAUAUGUCAAGUAAAAUUUAUCCUAGUAAUAAUAAUAAGAAACUCUCAUAAUAAAAAUAAAUAAAUAAAUAAAACUUAAAAUUUAAGUUAUAUAGAAUAAUAAAACAAUAAUACAUAUUUAAUAUACAAUAUCUACACUAUGGCUAUUGUAUUUGAUAGUAAGUUUUUAAGUAGUUUGACUUUAAAAUCAUCAAAAUAAUUAUUUUCUUAACGGGUUGAAACAAGUUGCCUGCGUGUAAACUCAUUAAGAACUCAUUAUUAAUAACUUCUUAACGGAUGACCCGAUAACGACCCGAUUAGUUAUCGUGUUGAUCUGAAACCUAUUAUUUUCGUGUGAUUUUCAUGUCAUGUUAACAGGUCGUGUAAGAAAUCGUCAAGUUUACUACCAACUACCACCUCUACAUGACUAGACUCCCUCUGUGAGAGUGACUAAGUCUCCUCGACCUCGACUGUGUCGACAUUAUAGCAACUAGCCAUCAUUUUCUAACUCUCCCCCAGUCCUCCCAAUUGCAAGUUGUGACCACCACCACCCCAUCCCAGCCAUCGAGAAAUUCACCAUCAUCCUGCAAUUCCCUAGGUGUAUUUGAAUUGUGUGGGUUUUUGAUUCAAGAAUUUAGGGUUUUUGCUCAAAUUUGGGCUGCUUCAAUUUAUGGUUUGUGAAUUAGGGUUUUUAUUCAAUUUUGGGGCUGCUUCAAAUUAGGGUUUUCGUUUGAAUUGAGAUUUUUUGUAUUGUCUAUUAUAGACUUGAUGAACAAGGACUAGAGCACUGAAUCAUCGUGCAAGGGAUCUUGUUGUCUUGAACAUAGUUUUUAUUUUGUAAAGGUGAAAUUUGAAGUUUUUGAUUAAAAAAGUUCAUUGUGAGUGUACAAUAGAAUUGCAUGUUUGGUUUGUGAUUGAAGUUUUGAGAGGUGGGUUCCUUUUGGAUUUGGAAAUUGAGGUUCUAUUUUUGUGUUGUUUUGAUAUCUACAAAUUCAAAUUGCUCUGUUGUUUUUGUUUGGUAGCUUUUCCCAUAAAAUCUUAUUAUUUUUGUCAGUAGAAUUUUAGGGUUCUGUUUCUGUAUGGAAAGAAGAUGCAUGUUGGAAAUGUGUGUUGAAGAUGCAUGUCGGCAAUAUUUACAAUUACAAAGGAGAUGAUGCAGAUAUACCUAUUCAAAUAAUAAGGUCUAACAAUAAAAGUGUAAUUGGACCUGUGAAACCGGCCCAUUUCAAAUGAGUUGGGUUAGGUUUCCAACGUUCAGAAUCUUUAUACUCGGCUUGGCCCGUCUCAUUGUAUUUUAAAACGAGUUUGGGCCAUCCCUCCAAAUUUGGGUCGGCAAUAUUUACAAUUACAAAGGAGACAAUGUAGAUAUACCUAUUCAAAUAAUAUGGUCUAACAAUAAAAGUGUAAUUGGACCUGUGAAACCGGCCCAUUUCAAAUGAGUUGGGUUAGGUUUCAACGUUUAGAAUCUUUAUACUUGACUUGGCCUAUCCCAUUGUAUUUUAAAACGGGUCUGGUCCAUCCCUCCAAAUUUGGGCUCGCCCUGUGCCCACCCCUAAAU
rnacentral:lncRNA from 1 species